GGCCGACUAGCUCAGUUGGUUAGAGUGUCGUGCUAAUAUCUAUAAGUGAUGGUGGAAUAUUAACGCGAAGGUCUUGGGUUCGAUCCCCACGUUGGCCA
rnacentral:tRNA from 1 species